UCUUCUGUGCCUCCUGCAUUGCAGGCGGGUUCUUUACCACUACACCACCUGGGAAGCCCUUCUUUCCCCUUUGACUGUGAGAGUGGUCUUCCUCAUCUCAGGCUGCAUUUAUAUGUUUGUGAUGCUCUCAUGUCUCCAUGGGUGGAGAUCACACGCCAGAUCAGUAACCAGGAAAUGAAGAUUCUGUUCCUGGUUUCCAAGCUGCUGGCUUUCAGAAACCUCGAGUUCUUGUCCGAGUCUUCCCUGGCAUGGACGUAAGGACAGAUUUGGAAGGGGCCUUAGACUCGCUCUGUCCAGACUUCCUCAUCUUACAAACAAGACUUUUCUGGUAGAUGUAAUGAACGCAAGCAUAUACAGAGAUCAGAGUCCCAUCUUAGACUAGAAACGGCUGCCUCUGCUGCAGGCUGUGGUUGCAGGUUUGAGGAAUUGUUUGCUUCAUCCUGUGUGCCCCACACGGAAGAAUGAGAACCGCCGGUGAACCUCGUGAACAGGGAGGCAGAUGGCAGCUCAUAGGAGGAAGCACAUCCCAAUGCCUAAUGUUUUCUGAAUUGUGAGAUUAUCGGAGACCGGUAGUGAGCUCCCUGUGGCAGGAGAUGGUCAAGCAGAGGUUAUGUAAGCCCCUUAAGGGAAUGUGGAGCUGGGAUCACAUUGAAGGGGGCUCAGUGGCUUCAGUGCCUGACCCAAAGGGCCCAUGACUCCCCGGGACCCAAGACUCCUGCCUUUCUAUCUGGGAGAGUGGAGGAGCGGGAAGGGGCAGGGCUUCCAUGAUAGAAAAACCCUUCUGCCUAAGGAGGUCUCACUGUUGGCUGACAACCCAUGAUUUUGUGGGAUGUUUUCUGAAAUGUAGGUCUGGGCCUUCUAAUUUAAUUUUCACUCCCAAGGGGGUGUCUAAUUAGAUGAAAGGCCAUCACACUUAAGAGGAUGUUCCAGAACCUCCUUCCGGGGAAAUGAGCCCAGGAAAUGGUCGAGGAGUGUCCCAGACACUCAGCUGGAACUGAUGGGGCAGAUGAAAGCACAGGAAAGUCUGUUGUCCAGUUCUGGGCAGACGCCUGGACAUCUCCAAGGACCAGAGUCUAUGGACCUCAGUCUUCAGGGGUUCGUGCAGGGUGGGGUCCACAGAAGUCUCUUCCAGUGGGUGAAGCAGAUCUGAUUGCCUCUCUCAGCCCUGCCUCUCAGCAGCUGUUCCCUGGGUAAGUCACGUGGCAUCUGCAUGGGUGUUUGUGUCAGCAUCAUGCGAGGAUGGCUCCCCUCCCUCUCGGGUGUGAGCACCGCCCCAAAGCAGGUAGAUGAUGUUCCUAACACAAAGCUGGGGAGGAAGUGGUUUGAAUCCCACAUCUUGAUUUACUGAGUAGGGUAGUCAGUCUUCGAAGUUUCUUCCUCAGCUCGGGGCCAGCCCAGACCGAAUGUGGUUUCCUCUCGGUGUGUAUGCACACAUGCGGGCAAGCGUGCGUGGGUCUUGGCGACUCGCCUUUCAUGGACCUGGGGUUCAUGGCCACCUGAGGAGCCCAGGACUCCCUCUCAGACCUGCCCAACAUGCCAAGACGUUUUGGGACCCAGAUAGACACUCAUAGACCUGGGCAAACACCCGGUUCAUAAAUCUUCGAUGCCUGGCCUUACCUCUAUGUUAGAAUAUGGUAUAAGUUUGGAUUUGGUUUAACACCAAAUCAGCUAGUUAGUUACUUUCUUUAACUCUAUGUCUCUCAGAGAGCACUUUCACUUCCAGACCAUCUACCCCCAGAAAGCUUUGAGAAGCCCCUGAGAGCCACAGCUCCAAAAGGAUUAUUCUUCAGAAGUGGGGAGGCUUGAGAUCUAGCUGUGGUUCUCUCUGCAACCUGCCAUUAACAACCCUCUUGAACUUGCUGGGUCUCAGUUUCCCACUUCUGCUUGGAGAACAGCCGUGCCUACCUCAUCCUACCUCAUGGGUUGGUAUGAGGCUCAAGGGGAUGGAAGGGUUGUGAAAUGCAAUGUCAACCCAUUCCAACUGAUUCUUACAUGAAUAAAUUCCAUGAUGACUUGGGUGCAGAGUCUGUGCAAGUCUCAUGGUAGGCUCUGGGACCCAAAGGUAGCAGGACCUACCCUCUGCCAUGAGCUCACAGGCUAUUCUUAUUUCUAGAAGCAGACUUCAAGACUGUGAGCCUUUUGUGCCCACAUGGCAUAGUGUCUGCUUGCCUGUGAAUUUUUGGUAAGAGAGUUCUUAACAUGCUUGUCCCUUUCCCUACCCCACACAAUCGCUCUGCAGGAGAGAAGGAGGGGGCCAGCUAACACCCUCUGUCCAGAUGGCAGUUGGAGUCAAUGAAGCUCAGAGGAGUGAGUGAGUCACCAGGACCGAGUAGCAAGAUGGCAGCUGAUGGGAGAUCAGGGCUCCUGCCUGCCCUUUUUAAAAAAUCAUAUCAAGAUUUAAUGUACAUAUACUCUUUUUUUUAAAAAAAUACAUAUGUUCCUAACAUGUGGGACAUACAGUAUAAAGAUUUCAUACUGGAUAAAUGAUGCUCAUUAAGCCAAAAGAGAGAAAAAGGAGGACUUUGCCUUGCUUCAGCUACAUUAUUUGAAAUACAAAUAUGCAGAUUUUGUUACUGGGAAAAAUCUGAACUGUUUCUUUAUCAGGAACUUCAACUGAAUCUAGACUUUUCCACACCUCAAUUAUAAAGAAAGCACAACAAUAACAAAACUCAGAAAAACUGGACUAAAACUUCCUUAGCUCCUGAGACAGGACUGUUUCACAUCGUGUCAAGAGAGACGACGUCCAGCAGGAGAUUGAAUGGCUGUGUCUCACUUUCACAGGUCACCCACCUGCCAAGUUGUGAUACUACAAAAGAGUGACUGUGGAGACUCAGAGGGUGUGUGCAGCAGGAACGUCAUACAUGCAGAUCGCAGAGCUCAUUGCUUUCCCAGGAAUGAGUUGCAAGGCAGAAAGACCAGGGAUGCUCAGAGCUUGAGUGCAGUUGCUGUGUCCCUGGCAUGACUGGGCUGCCACUGGAAUCUCAUCACCUGCCAGACUCAGGAGGAAUUAGGGAGGACAUCUUGGGUGGGGUGGUGGGGGCAGGGGGGCCUUCCAAGCCUCUGUGGACAAAGCCUGGAGGGGCCAGCACUAGGGAGGACCUCUGUGUGGUCUUAGGCCUGUGCAAGGCCCUGCCCUUGCAUAGGAAGAGAUGAUCCUCAUUCCUGGCUUUCCCCAAAGACUGUCUCCUUGAGUUCUUCCACAGCGGUCAUCAACUGGAGACCUGGGGGCCUUGUGUGGUCUGCAGACAGGUUUUAUUUGAUUGAAUUGUUUUCAAUAAUUGCAAUAGCAGUCAGCAUUGAAACACUGAUUUCAAAUCAAAACUCUGGGCCUUUUCUGAGAACUUGGGACAUCUGGCCACCCAGGAGCCCAGCCCUGUGUGGCCACUAUUGCUGGGGCCAGUUGAGUCCCUGCUGCCCUUUAGCACAUGUCCCUGGGUUCCCACCCAGCCAGCCUCCCUCAUUUUCAUCACCUGCCUGGCAUGGCUCCUGGGACCCAUCCCCAAGUCUGUAUUUUAUUGAUGGUGAAGCCGGAGGCCUGGCUUAAAAGAUGUAGAAAUGGAAACUCUGAGAGUCCUCCUCAUCCCAGCACUUUUGAGCAGCUUCAGGUUUCUGUGGGCCAGAAACAGCUGGGCCAACAGAAGAGGAGGUGAUGGUGGCCCUCACUCCGCCUCCACCGUGGAAUGUGCCCCCUCCCCACCCCCCAAAACCAUUGCAUUUUCCAGAUUAAAGAUUCCAGGCAGGCUGGGGCUUAUUUCCCACUCAGUGUCUGGGACGUAUUUUCUCCUUCAAGUCAUUACAGGUUCGAGAUCUCCAGCAACCCCAGGUCUUGAAGGCGGGGCUGUCUUCUCUGACAGCCCCAGGGUGCUCAGACACCAAGCUUCCUCUGUUCCCUUUCCAUUCACCCCGCUCUAGCCUUUGGUCUGGGUGCAGCCUGUCAGCAUUAAGUAAGCACUUCUUAAUGCUUAUGAGUGGUUUGCUCAUAACAAUUCUUCAGAUCUUGGGAGCCCGGCUGUGGGGCUCUGCAUAUGUAUAGAUCUCAUUUUCACACAACAGGCUGCUUAGCAGAUGGGGACCCAGACCAGCCUCCAACAUUUAGCUCUGAGUUAAGACGUGGGAAACUAGGUGGCUUUUAACCAGCCCAUAUUGCUGCCAGUGCUCAACCUUAGGGAAUUUUCACAGGGAAAAGGGAAAAAAAAAAAAAAAAGACACAAAAAACC